rnacentral:rRNA from 1 species
AGACGUCUACAUUAGAUACCCGCGUAGUCCCAGCCCUAAACGAUGCGCGUUAGGUGUAUCGGUGACCACGAGUCACCGAGGUGCCGAAGGGAAACCGUGAAACGUGCCGCCUGGGAAGUACGGUCGCAAGGCUGAAACUUAAAGGAUUGGCGGGGGAGCACCACAACGGGUGGAGCCUGCGGUUUAAUUGGACUCAACGCCGGGAAGCUCACCGGAUAAGACAGCGGAAUGAUUGCCGGGCUGAAGACCCUGCAUGACCAGCUG